UACGAAGGGAGCUAGCGUUGUUCGGAAUUACUGGGCGUAAAGGGCGCGUAGGCGGCCUUGUAAGUUAGAUGUGAAAGCCCCGGGCUUAACCUGGGAACUGCAUUUAAGACUGCAAAGCUUGAGGACGAGAGAGGAAAGUGGAAUUGUGAGUGUAGAGGUGAAAUUCGUAGAUAUUCACAAGAACACCAGUGGCGAAGGCGACUUUCUGGCUCGUAUCUGACACUAAGGCGCGAAAGCGUGGGGAGCAAACAGG
rnacentral:rRNA from 1 species